UUAUUCCUUGCUCACCAAUUAGUCCCAGCACGUUUUUGAUUCUAUUCCUCAUUCCCCACAAAAAUAUUCCUCCACAAAAAUAUUCUCCCACAUAAGACCUAGAUCUUCAGGUAUAAAUAGAGAGCAACACAAUACAAAUACAAAAGAAGAGGAGAAAGAAAGAAAAAAUCAGCAAAAAACAGUAGCUAAAACAGCCACCCAAAACAGUUUGAGCUUCGUUUCCACCGUGUAAGACCACCCACGUUCAGUUUGAGUUUUUUUACUCAUGUAUUUGAAGAAGUUUCCAUCUAUACAAAGGAUUAUGAGCAUAGGAAGCAAAGCCAUUGGAAGAGUGCAAAAGUGAGCUAGAUGGUGAGGACUAAGUAUGGGGUGCCCACACAAAAGACCAUGCUUGGGGGAAGUCUGAGUACCUCGUGAGCCAUUAUUGCUUCGGCCUUUGGCCUUUCAGGGUGUUUGGAGUGCAAAAAUAUGAAGAAAAGGUGCUCCAACUAGAGAAAAAGAGGUUGGAUUGGAAAGAAGAUACUUGGUGCAUCCCCAUAGCAUCCGCACCUGGGCAAAGCUGAGAUGGAGGAACAAAGGGUGGAUGCGAAGUUGAGAAGCGGAGGACGAGGUGGAUGCGGAGCAUCCACCCCAGCAUCAAUCCCUGAAGCUGAUUCGGACUAGGAUUAGGAGAACUUUGGCCACGACUUUUGUACGCAAUAUAUAGGCCAAAAACACCCCUUUUAGGUCAUCUACAUACAUUUAACACACGGGGAAAGGAGAAAAAGCCACGACAAAGCUUGGGAAUCACAGAAUUCCUCUUGAGUUCUUACUUUUUCCUUCUUUUAUUGAUUUUUAUGUAUUCUUGGGAAUUAUUUGAAAUUGUUACCAUGAGCAUGCGUGGCUAAGAACCCUAUUGUUCUAAGGUCAUGGGUAGAACAUGAAUGUUGAUAUUUGAAGUUUAAUUUGACGAAGUUGAUUUUAUCA